GUGAAGAACGUAGCGAAAUGCGAUACUUGGUGUGAAUUGCAGAAUCCCGUGAACCAUCGAGUCUUUGAACGCAAGUUGCGCCCGAAGCCACUAGGCCGAGGGCACGCCUGCCUGGGCGUCACACGCCGUUGCCCCCCCAUCUACUCCUUCGGGAUUGCGGGGGGGCGGAUGAUGGCCUCCCGUGCGCCUAGCCGCGCGGUUGGCAUAAAUACCAAGUCCUCGGCGACGCACGCCACGACAAUCGGUGGUUGCGAAACCUCGGUUGCCCGUCGUGUGCGUUCGUCGCGCAUCGAGGGCUCGAAAAAAUGCUCGGCUCCGGCUGGGCUUUCAACGCGACCCCAGGUCAGGCGGGGUUACCCGCUGAAUUUAAGCAUAUCAAUAAGCGGAGGA
rnacentral:misc_RNA from 1 species